rnacentral:misc_RNA from 1 species
GGAGAACGGUUUCGUGUUGGGAAUUGACAGACAAACAAGAAAAAUUGAGGUCCAUGGCAGUUAUAGCUGGUUUUGCAGUUAUCAGUUCAGUUAAUGGACAAAAAAAUUGGACUUUUAUAUCAAACAAUUCAACUAAUUCCACACUAAUAGUAAUCGCAGUGGUAAUCUGUGUUUCUCAUCUACACGCAGUUAAAAGGAUGCAUUACAAAUUGGUUUGUCAAGUAAAACAUUUAUGGCAGUUGACGCUUAUGUUUGACAUUUCUCUGUACGUACGCUGCUAUCUGGCAAUAAUAACUCGAAGGCAGAUAUCAUCUACUAUGAGAGCACAUUUCUGUGAGCAAAAUCCGAAAACAAAACGCCAAAAAUACAGCAGAGUGAAGACUAUAAAGGUGCAUCCUGCAAUCAUCGAAUGAUUUCACUUUAUUUCUAUUCAUAUAGCAUGUCAGAAGGCAUGUUCUAAUAUUUCUCAGGGAGGGAACUUUUCUCUGAAAUCCUUUCUUGCUGUUUUCCUCUCUUGAGCCCGCUGAGCUUUCCUUCUCCCGCUUGGACUUUUUCCAACCCAGCUUCUCCCCAUUUGGGUUGGGGGUACAUAGGUUUUGGGUUGUGUUGGUCUUUUGCAGGUCUAGAGAAAAUUGCAAGGGUAGCUUUGAAGACCAGUCUAGUGGCUUUGUUAUGUUUUAUGCUUGAGCUGAGCCAGUUGUCGAACUAUGGUAGCCAUAGUCACUAUGGAGGGUUCCUUGCAUCUCUGAUGGUGGAUAGCUCUCGGUCUUUGAGCCACCCUUCCAUGGUGGCUGCUGACCCCUAAGCUAUAACAGAUUGGGAUACCAUGUGCUUUACUCACUAUCCGCUUUGGAGGCACCAGCCAUCAAUGGUUCUGCAUGUUGGUUCUUAAGAUCCAGCGGCUGGCUGGGAUUGAAAACUAGACGAUGGUUUUGGAUAUCAUGUGGCUCUCUUGUAGUUGUGGAAGUUUCCAUUUUUCUUCCCUCUCAGUUUUAGAUAAAAUUGUUGUUUCUAGGAGGUUCGAUGGCGCUGUAAAUGUCUCUGGUUCUCUGUUGUUCCUGUCCUUUAGGGCUUUUUGAGUUA